CCUGGCUCAGGAUGAACGCUAGCUACAGGCUUAACACAUGCAAGUCGAGGGGAAACGAUAGAGAAAGCUUGCUUUUUCUAGGCGUCGACCGGCGCACGGGUGAGUAACGCGUAUCCAACCUGCCCAUCACUUGGGGAUAACCUUGCGAAAGUAAGACUAAUACCCAAUGACGUCUCUAGAAGACAUCUGAAAGAGAUUAAAGAUUUAUCGGUGAUGGAUGGGGAUGCGUCUGAUUAGCUUGUUGGCGGGUAACGGCCCACCAAGGCGACGAUCAGUAGGGGUUCUGAGAGGAAGGUCCCCCACAUUGGAACUGAGACACGGUCCAAACUCCUACGGAAGGCAGCAGUGAGGAAUAUUGGUCAAUGGACGAGAGUCUGAACCAGCCAAGUAGCGUGCAGGAUGACGGCCCUAUGGGUUGUAAACUGCUUUUAUAAGGGAAUAAAGUGGGAGUCGUGACUCUUUUUGCAUGUACCUUAUGAAUAAGGACCGGCUAAUUCCGUG
rnacentral:rRNA from 1 species